UAGUGGAAGCGUCUGGAAAGGCGCGCGAUACAGGGUGACAGCCCCGUACACAAAAAUGCACAUACUGUGAGCUCGAUGAGUAGGGCGGGACACGUGGUAUCCUGUCUGAAUAUGGGGGGACCAUCCUCCAAGGCUAAAUACUCCUGACUGACCGAUAGUGAACCAGUACCGUGAGGGAAAGGCGAAAAGAACCCCGGCGAGGGGAGUGAAAAAGAACCUGAAACCGUGUACGUACAAGCAGUGGGAGCACGCUUCGGCGUGUGACUGCGUACCUUUUGUAUAAUGGGUCAGCGACUUAUAUUCUGUAGCAAGGUUAACCGAAUAGGGGAGCCGAAGGGAAACCGAGUCUUAACUGGGCGUUAAGUUGCAGGGUAUAGACCCGAAACCCGGUGAUCUAGCCAUGGGCAGGUUGAAGGUUGGGUAACACUAACUGGAGGACCGAACCGACUAAUGUUGAAAAAUUAGCGGAUGACUUGUGGCUGGGGGUGAAAGGCCAAUCAAACCGGGAGAUAGCUGGUUCUCCCCGAAAGCUAUUUAGGUAGCGCCUCGUGAAUUCAUCUCCGGGGGUAGAGCACUGUUUCGGCAAGGGGGUCAUCCCGACUUACCAACCCGAUGCAAACUGCGAAUACCGGAGAAUGUUAUCACGGGAGACACACGGCGGGUGCUAACGUCCGUCGUGAAGAGGGAAACAACCCAGACCGCCAGCUAAGGUCCCAAAGUCAUGGUUAAGUGGGAAACGAUGUGGGAAGGCCCAGACAGCCAGGAUGUUGGCUUAGAAGCAGCCAUCAUUUAAAGAAAGCGUAAUAGCUCACUGGUCGAGUCGGCCUGCGCGGAAGAUGUAACGGGGCUAAACCAUGCACCGAAGCUGCGGCAGCGACACUGUGUGUUGUUGGGUAGGGGAGCGUUCUGUAAGCCUGUGAAGGUGUACUGUGAGGUAUGCUGGAGGUAUCAGAAGUGCGAAUGCUGACAUAAGUAACGAUAAAGCGGGUGAAAAGCCCGCUCGCCGGAAGACCAAGGGUUCCUGUCCAACGUUAAUCGGGGCAGGGUGAGUCGACCCCUAAGGCGAGGCCGAAAGGCGUAGUCGAUGGGAAACAGGUUAAUAUUCCUGUACUUGGUGUUACUGCGAAGGGGGGACGGAGAAGGCUAUGUUGGCCGGGCGACGGUUGUCCCGGUUUAAGCGUGUAGGCUGGUUUUCCAGGCAAAUCCGGAAAAUCAAGGCUGAGGCGUGAUGACGAGGCACUACGGUGCUGAA
rnacentral:rRNA from 1 species